rnacentral:rRNA from 1 species
GGAUUCCCCUAGUAACUGCGAGUGAAGCGGGAAAAGCUCAAAUUUAAAAUCUGGCGGUCUUUGGCCGUCCGAGUUGUAAUCUAGAGAAGUAAUGCCCGUGCUGGACCGUGUAUAAGUCUCCUGGGAUGGGGCGUCAUAGAGGGUGAGAAUCCCGUCUUUGACACGGACUACCAGUGCAUUGUGGUAUGCUCUCAAAGAGUCGAGUUGUUUGGGAAUGCAGCUCAAAAUGGGUGGUAAAUUCCAUCUAAAGCUAAAUAUUGGCGAGAGACCGAUAGCGAACAAGUACCGUGAGGGAAAGAUGAAAAGAACUUUGGAAAGAGAGUUAAACAGUACGUGAAAUUGCUGAAAGGGAAACGCUUGAAGUCAGUCGCGUUGGCCGGGAAUCAGCCUUGCUUUUGCAUGGUGUACUUUCUGGUCGACGGGUCAGCAUCAAUUUUGAUCACUGGAAAAGGCUCAAGGGAAUGUGGCAGCUUCGGCUGUGUUAUAGCCCCUGUUCACAUACAGUGGUUGGGAUUGAGGAACUCAGCACGCCGCAAGGCCGGGUUUCGACCACGUUCGUGCUUAGGAUGCUGGCAUAAUGGCUUUAAGCGACCCGUCUUGAAACACGGACCAAGGAGUCUAACAUGCCUGCGAGUAUUUGGGUGGAAAACCCAGGUGCGCAAUGAAAGUGAAAGUUGAGAUCCCUGUCGUGGGGAGCAUCGACGCCCGGACCAGAACUUUUGGGACGGAUCCGCGGUGGAGCAUGUAUGUUGGGACCCGAAAGAUGGUGAACUAUGCCUGAAUAGGGUGAAGCCAGAGGAAACUCUGGUGGAGGCUCGUAGCGAUUCUGACGUGCAAAUCGAUCGUCAAAUUUGGGUAUAGGGGCGAAA